UUACGGCCACAUCACAUUGAAACACCGAUUCCCGUACGACCACUGAAGUUAAGCAACGUCGAGUGUGGUCAGUACCUAGAUGAGUGACUGCUGGGAAUACUAAGUGUUGUAAG